GAUUAGAGCUUGCUCUUAUGAAGUUAGCGGCGGACGGGUGAGUAACACGUGGGUAACCUGCCCAUAAGACUGGGAUAACUCCGGGAAACCGGGGCUAAUACCGGAUAACAUUUUGAACCGCAUGGUUCGAAAUUGAAAGGCGGCUUCGGCUGUCACUUAUGGAUGGACCCGCGUCGCAUUAGCUAGUUGGUGAGGUAACGGCUCACCAAGGCAACGAUGCGUAGCCGACCUGAGAGGGUGAUCGGCCACACUGGGACUGAGACACGGCCCAGACUCCUACGGGAGGCAGCAGUGGUCAUAGCUU
rnacentral:rRNA from 1 species